AGAGGGCCACGAGAGAGGUCACGUCUGUGUUGCAGCCUAAAUGACAAGCAGGAGCCCAGCUGUGCAGGUCUGGGGGAGGGGGCUCUUCCAGCUCUGAUGGCAACUUUCUGGCCUGCAGGAGUUGGGGCCAAGUGAGGGAGGGGGACUUACGGGGGUUUCCCUUCAAGCUGGAGUCCACUUUGACUUGUAGCAUGUCAGGGCCUCUGAGGUCAGCCUUGGGAUGAGCAGGAGGAGGAGGGUCCGUGUGAGGAAGGACAGCAGCUGUGUGUGAUUUGGGUCGAACUGUGGCUCCUCCACCACCCCAGGUACUCUGAAGUCCGAACCCCUGGUGCUGCAGGUCGGGGUCUUACUUGGAAGUGGGGUCCUGGCAGAUGGAAGGCCUCCUUCUGGGGUGGGGGUGCCCCACAAUGCUGCAGUGAACAAUCUGGCUUAUGUGUCCUCAGCCCCCAUCAGAGAGGAUGACAUCUGUGCAGCAAGGCUUUGCCUGGUCCAGAGGCACAGUCACACAUGUCAGUCAUGCUUCCAUGGCUGCCCCUGGACUGGGAGUGAGGUCUCCAUGAGAAACCUCCAGUCCAGGGCCCCUGCACGGAGGGGAGAUGCCAAGUUUCUCUCUGGCCACUUGCCAGGGAGAGUCAGCUCCCGCCGCACAAGCAGUGGCCAUUCGCUCACACAUCACACGUGGACAAGGUGUGUGCCGUGGGCUGUUGCUGGGUUCUGAGACCACCAGGCCCAGCCUGAGAACAGCAGGUGGGUGGCCCUGACCUGGGGCACCCGCUACAGCUGCUGAGCUGCGUCCGAGUUCAAAGUCAUGAACAGCAGGCAAAUCUGCGUGACCUCCCCCUCUCCCCCCAACCCUGUGCCACCCUUACCUAGUCCUCAUGCAUGUGCACAUGUGUGUGGGUGGGAGAGAAGGACUGGACGCAUUCGGCAGGGACGUGAAAAGAAUACACUCAUGUGUGGUGUCACGCCCUCUCCCAGGCAUCGCUGGCUGUCGUCAGGGAGUUUCUAGGUGAGAAGUCUGUGUACUCCUCGUCAGCAGGCCUUGCCUUGGCCCCUGUGCUUGCUCUCGACCUCCUCCAUGAAAACAAGGCUCCUGAACACUGCCAUGGCCAUGGCCAAUGCUAGAGGCAGCCCCAAAAGCUCACGUUCAUGAAACUGUUGAACUUGACCAAGAGUUACAGAAACCUGACUCACACCAUCCUUUAAUUCUGUUUGUGUCCUUUCUUGCCUGGAAUUCAGUAUUUCCUCAAACUAAGUGCGUUGUGAGAAGUGCCCACGCUCCCCAGGAACCAGAGCUGCAGGUGCACACGGAGGAGGGGCUGGCGUGGCUGGGCUGGGGGCAGGGCCCGAGGCACCUGCUGUACCUCCAAGUGUUACUUCUCCUCACCGAAGGCAAGGAGCCUGGGGGUGCCCAGGACGGACAAAAGCCUGAAUCAGAAAAUGACUCACGUAGCAGCCGCGGUGCCUUGUGGUUUCCCAGGUGCUCGCUUUAUUCUAGCAAAGCCCAGAUCCUGCGCUGUCAAGGCGGGGUGCAGGCCGUGUGCUGGCUGGUUGAGUCCUCAAGGCAGCAGGGACAGAGGCUGGGUGACACGGUGCCUUGAGUCACCCCAGCCACCCGGCGGCCCUGUCAGGGCAGCCGCAUCGGAUCCUGAGCACCGGCUCCUCCCGCCCAGCACUCGCCUUUGCGUUUUCAGUUUUUUCUUGCUUGUUCUUUUUCUCACCUGGCACCUGGCCCCGCAGGGAGCAGGGCUUUGCAGCCACCCACUGCACAGAUCAGGUUCCGUCAUUAGCCGGGCUGAAAUCCAACACGAUGACACCCAGCUCCCGGGGGGUGGGGCCCGCUGCCGCCCUGCUCCUGGCUUCUUGGUGAUGUGUGUGUCUGGCAUUCUCUGCAAAGCAAAGUUGUUGUUUUUGUUUUUGUUUUUAAAUCGGAAAGCCCCCAGUAAUGCAGAUGUGGUGCAGAUACGUGCGUCAGCACUGUCAGAGCACGGACUCAGGGCUUGUGUGGAACCUGGCAGCUUAGCGUUGCUGCUGCUAGCAGCUCCCGGGGGUGUGUGCAGAGCAGACGGCCUUCCGGGAAGCUGCUCACUAGGUACCUGGUCUCUUACGCCCGCGUGGAGCACUCCUGUGUUGGGCCGCGUUUUCUGGACGUCUAAUGACCACAGACCGCGUGCACUUGCUGCCUAAGUCUACCGCGGGUCCUCUGUGAGUAAGGGAAGCUGCUCAUUUUGCCCCCUGACUGUGCCCCGUGGAGUCCAGGGGCCUUUCCAAGCUCAGACCUUCCCGGCCAGGCUCAACUGCACAGGUGCCGUGUCAGCAAGUUCACAAGGCCAGCGCCACGUUUGUUGUCAAACCUUGUCACUGUCCUUGUACAGAUGAUGCUGUGGCGCUGACUGGCGGCUGGCCUGUCCACUCAGCAGAAGCAAAAUCUGCAUCCCCAGUGGGCCAAAGCUCAUUCCCGAUCACUAAAGCUCAUUCCCGGUCACUAAGAACCGGUGCCGAGAGAGAGCUGGAACACUGCUCAGACCUGGAGCUGGUGGCCCAAGGACCAGACAUGAUUACAAGCACUUGCAGGUGAAAUCCGGGAGACAGCACAGCGUGCAGAAGGCCCAGCGCUGGUCAACGAUGGGUCCCAAAGACGGUUGAUUAGCAAGCGCCUGUCGGCACGCGCCUAAGUCAAGAGCGCUUCUGCCAGUCCCCAGGGCCAGGUGAGGCGGGCAUUCAAGCUGUGACCCAGGUAGCACAUGGGACCUGCUCUCUGUCCACAGCCCUUCAGUUACUGUGACAGGAUAGCCGUUCCCUCUGUGUGUAUCCCAGGCCGGGAGUACUCCUGGCGUCCCGUUCUGUGGCAGCCACGUAAAUGAGUGGGUUGGGGGCGGUGUGCUGUGUUUUCCCAGGAUGCUCACUGUAGUAGAUCUUAUUUUCUGGGGAAGCUUUAGAAGGAUCGAGAAGAAUGUACAGAUAACACACUCCCCCCCCCACACACACACACCAAGCACCCGGUUUCCCCCGUUGUUGAUGUCUGUUGUUACGGUGCUACCCCCUUAGAAAGCGUGAACCACCAUCCGCACCUCGUGGUGAAGGCCCCUGCUUUCCUCCCCUGGCCUCAGCUUUCAGCUGCCGCCCUCGCUGUGGUCCAGGAUCCGCCUGGCUGAGCAUUUCCUGAGCGCUGGCAGUCUGCAAGGUGCUGGUCGGGGUACUGGUUUACAGGUGUGCUGGUCAGGGUACUGGUUUGAAGGGUGCUGGUCGGGGUGCUGGUUUGCAGGGUGCUGGUGAGGGUACUGGUUUGCAGGGUGCUGGUCGGGGUACUGGUUUGAAGGGUGCUGGUCGGGGUACUGGUUUGCAGGCAUGCUGGUCGGGGUACUGGUUUGCAGGGUGCUGGUCAGGGUUCUAGUCAGCUGUGUUGUUGGAUUCCCUCUCUUGGAGUCUUUCUGCUGUUCUCAGGAUCGGGCUUGAGCUCCGAGUUUGGGGCAGGGGCGCCAUUCCCAUCACGUCGAGCCUGCUGCCCAGGCUGGCGACACCAGGACUCCCCGCGGAGAAGUGACUCUGCCCUGUACACUCCGCACAGGGCUCUUUGGAAUGAAGUCACCGCACACGGCCCACGCCUUUCCACACUGGCCCUGGAGUUCUGCCCAGGGGACCUGUCUCUUCCGCCUGGUUGUGGGUUCAGCCUGUCACUCAUCUGCGUCCGUGUGGAUGUCAGUGGGCUGGACCGGCACUGCACUCUGGAGAUCUGCCCCUGUUGCCCCAGCUCAGCCGUCUCGGGUGCCCCUCGGAGCCUCCUUCAGCCUGCCCGUCCUCCCUCUCUCCCUGAUGCUCCGGGCUCCCUUGCAUUUUUCCUGCCCCAGUCCUGGGUUCAUCUUUCCUGCCCCAGUCCUGGGUUCAGCCGUUUCUUCCAGGGAGCCCUGAUCCUCUCGCUUGGCAAAUGGUCUGCAGGGGGGUGCGCGUUGCCACUGGCUGUCAUCGCUCCUUGGCUGUGCCAGCAGACAACAAAGAAACGUAUGUGUGUGUCCUGGCCUUGCUGUAUACACACAUCUGUAAAUAUUUUGAUACAUAACCAUCUGUGUCUACCACACGAUAUCCGACUGUAGCAGAUUUGCUAGCUCUGAUAUUCCACCUCCACGGUGCAGCCUUUGAAAGGGACAGUUUGGGACACGGUUGCAACAUAGUUUGCUCCAUCACGCAUUCCUCUUGGCGUAAACCGGUAUGAGAUGCACUUUGUUCCUGCCAUCACGUGAAGGCAUUGUUCCAGCAUGUUCUUGCGUAAAGCUGAACCACGGUGUUGUGUCUGAUUCUGAAGGAGGACACGAAACAAACGAGACGUGACUUGGCGUCAGCGCUGCGGCGCUUUGCAGGGCUCCCGGGGUAACCGCGGCCUCCCUCUGUUAAUCGUUGCCAGUCACCCAGGACAGGCUGAGAAGUUGCGAAGUUACAGUCGCAGCAAUUUUAUAGCAAGAAAUCUGUUAGUGUUUAAAGGGAUGUGUUCCCCAGUGGCGAGCAGAGUGAGGCGCUGGGAAUCCUUCUGCCUCCCCCCUCGGAUCUCUACACCUGGUUAACUCUCGGUUAAGGACCCCGAUCUCCUGGUUAACUAAGUCUCUCGGAUGAGGACCCCGUUGGGAGUCUCCGGGGGAGGCCCUGAGUGGCAGAGGCACAGAGGCCUGCCUUCUCGGGUCCCCCUGGCCGCCUCUGAGGGGAGCGGGACCAGCUGGGUGACCCCGAGCGGGUGGCUCCGCCGCCGCCCACUGUUGAGGCUGGUGGUCCAGUGAUCACAGCCCCUCAAUUACGGCCCCGUGCGAGCCCCAGCAGCAGUCAUGAGAUAAUUACGGCUUUGAUGAGUCGCUCCAGCCAGUCGCCGCCUUUGAAACAGGAUAGCACAAUUUGGAGUUUUAUUAAGAAACAAUUUUUUUUUCUGGAACUGUUGGAAGAUAGUUUGUAUUUGGGGGAAAAAAGAGAAAUUCGAGAAAGGGCUGCAGUGUGCCUGUGGAGGAGGCCGAGGAGAACAAGGACAGAGACUGCUUCCCAUUACCUCACCCUCCUGUCUCGGGAGGGUGCAGGUGGCCCCAGCGGGCCGGCCCCUGCCCAACGACGCCCACCUCCCAGAGCCGGGAGCCAGUGCUGGACAAGGUUGGCAAGAGAUGGGGUGGGUGGCAGAAAGAGCAAGAGAAGGGGUACGGGAUUGGCGGCCACUCCUGCCCACUGCCCCGGCCAGCUGUGUGACCACCAGAGCUGCGUUCCCUUCACACCCUCGUCCGUCCGUCCGUCCUGCUUGGAAAGACCGAUCUGAACCUCACUCAUCUCUUUGUGGAGAAUUUGGUUUGCUCUGCGUGUGCGUUUUCGGUUUUGAAUGACAAGCGUUGGGUCUCGUGAUACGAAACGGUCAGAACGCACAGUGUGCUGGACCCCGGCGGGCCAGGUGCUCUUGGUGAUGCCGAGGACCCAGCCAGACCCUUGUCACACACCCUGAAGGAGCAGUGCCAGGGGCCCGGGCAGCCCAGGGUGAGUGUCCCGGGGCGCCAUGCGCAGCCUCCCCGUGAGAAGGUGGAGACACGUAUCCCCCACUCACUGCUUCUGAGAACCUGCCAGACCGGAAACCCACAGCGCAAACACGCUGGCAAGUGCUCUACUUCCUCUCACGACGUAUUUUCACUCCUGUGAAAAGUGAACACUCAGGGUGUUGCACAGAAGUGACCCCAUUAACCUCGGGUACUCCGAGCCCUGGAUCUGCAGCCCAGCCUGCUUCGGCCCCACGGAGCGCCAGCUCUUCCCCUAAUCUGGACGGCUGCGUCCAUGCACAUCCCAGAGUCUUUGCUUGGUUGUCUCUGCCGUUUUCCGGGUUUAAUGGCAUUUCCUGUGUGCAUCUGCGUGGGCCUGACUCUCACAGAAGCCUGGGCCAUGUUCAGAUCUUAAGAGCUGUAACCAAGCCGCCAGUGCGGAAAUUGCACUCACUGUGAAGAAAGCCAUUAGGAGUUACCGGGAAUCAAGUUAAAAAUUUCUAACGAAGGGCUGAUUACACAUCUCAUGCGUUUUACUUAGUGUUUUCUGUGUUCUGACUUCAAAUAAUGGAGAGACGAGGAGUCUUCCAGAAACUGAUGAUGACAAACCCAGCGGCUGCCUUGACUCGGGUCCGCGUAUUUGCUUGGCCUCAGCUUCUGCUGACUGCCAAGGCCCCUUCCCAGACGUGCCCACCUCUCCCCUCCUCCAGCUGUGUCCAGGACACAGCCACACCUCAGCCCCUUCGCAGCUGCUGGAGAAAAUUCAUGUCAAGUCAGAACCUUCCAGGCUGUUUCUUGGGGCCAGGGUGGGGGACCUUAUAGAAGAACCACAUUUCCUCUGUCUUGUUGAGCAAAUGAAUAUCAAGUGUCCAGCACAAAAGAAAUCCCCAGUCUCUGCCCUCACGGACAAAAGCUCAUGGGAUUCUGGGCAUGGAAGUGACAUUGAACUGCAGCACAAUCCGUUCACACCCGCAGAGCUUCCGAGGUGGGGAGGUGAUUUUUAUGGAUGGAGUCCUGGUGCCAGGAUCAGCCUGAAGCACCCAUAGGAGUCCGGUGCUCCCCCUGCACACGUGGUAUCAGUCCCACAGGAGUCAGGUGCCCCCCUGCACACGUGGCAUCAGUCCCACAGGAGUCAGGUGCUCCCCCUGCACACGUGGCAUCAGUCCCACAGGUGCUCGCCCUGCACGCGUGGCAUCGGCCCCCUCAGGGCUGUGCUCCCUGCCACGGUCGUCACUCUGUUGUCCUCAGAGGUGCGAGUCUACAUUCCCGUGUCUCCAGAAGCCGGUGGCACACCUCUGCACCCAGCCCUUCCUCGGUGCAGGUGGAAGGACCCUAUUAGUCCUCGUAAUUGAUUCUGAGCGCUGCAGCGUGCCUCAUUUAGCCAGCCCCAUUCCCUGCACGCCCGGGAUGUAAUUCAUGCACACUUGAACAUCCAACAUGGCUGACGAGGCUUGGACGUAACCUCACGGCGGCAUCAUUUUUUAAUCAGCUAUCUGAGGAAUAUUUAUCUAAUCAACAAAGAACGCUGUCAGGAGGAGAGCAGAGGUGGCAUUAAUAAGGCUGUGGCUUCGCCGUACAGUGAUGGAGGAAGAGUUGGGAUGAACCCUGCUCGCGUGAGCGUGGUGGCAGACCUGGGCAGAUUUUUGUUCGAUUGUACAGAGCUCGUCAAAGGAUGCCCUGGUUGGACGCUGCUGUCCGGGAUCACUUUCCCGGCAGUCUCUGUAGUCAAAUUUAAAUUUUUUUAGUUGUCUAGAGAACCAAAUGAGCCGAAAUAUCCCUUCAUUUUUUUAUUUGCUUUUAUUUUAUUGGAAAGGCAGAUACCCACGGCAGUCGGAGCUGGGCCAGGCCAGAAUGGGCAAGCAGGGCCCAAGUACUUAAGCCAGCACCCUGCGGAAGCAGAGGCGAGACUCCCACCAGUCACUCCAGUGUGGGAGCAGACAACCCAAGUGAGGGCUUACGCCCACUGCAGCACAGCAUCCGUCCCCUGAAAUCUUCCUUUGAAAUAAAAGUUAAGGUUGGAGGGGCUGGCGCUGUGCCACAGUGGGUUAAAGCCCCAGCCAUAUGGAUGCCAGUUCAAGUCCUGGCUGCUCCUCUUCUCAUCCAGCUCUCUGCUGUGGCCUGGGAAAGCAGUAGAAGAUGGCCCAAGUCCUUGGGCCCCUGCACCCGUGUGGGAGGCCCGGAAGAAGCUCCUGGCUCCUGGCUUCAGAUCAGCUCAGCUUUGGCCGUGACAGUCAUUUGGGGGAGUGAACCAGUAGAAUGGAAGAUCGAUCUCUCUCUCUCUCUCUCUCUCUCUCUCUGGCUCAACCUCUCACUGUAACUCUUUCAAAUAAAUAAAAAUAUCUUGAAAAAGAAAAAAAAAAGGUUGGCGUCUGUCGCACCAUGGCUUUUCCAGUGGCUGCUGCUGGAAGGUGGGGAGGCCUCGGAGAGUGACUGUGGCUUAUGCCCUCCGUGGGACUAUUUCUCAGCUCUGUGGGAAGGAACAACAAAACAUGAAGGAUGUAGUAAUAAAUUAUUUACUGUGAGAAAAGAAUGAGUGGGGUUAGUGUCAUGGCAUAGCCAGCGAAGGCGCUGCCUGCGAUGCCUGCAUCCCAUCUGGGUGCCGGUUCGAAUCCCAGCUGCUCCACUUCCAAUCCAGCUCUCCGCUAAUGCACCUGAGAAGGCAGCGGAAGAUGGCCCAAGUCCUUGGGCCCCUGCACCUGCGUGGGAGACCUGGCAGAAGCACCUGGCUCCUGGCUUCAGCCUGGCCCAGCCCCAGCUCUUGCAGCCAUCUGGGGAGAGAACUAGCAGACGGAAGUUGUUUUUCCCUCUCUCUCUCUCUCCCUCCCUCCUUUUCUCCCUCCCUCUGUGAUUCUGCCUUUCAAAUAAAUAAAUAAAUCUUCUAAAAAUAAAAAGAACCAAAUAACAGCAGAAGUGCUUCUGAGGGCAUGAACCCACCGCAUAGCUGAGGCUCCCACAGAUGCGGGGCUGUGCCGUCGCUGGCCGUCCUCACCUCUGAGUGAUUCCAGCUACUCUGACCCAGCAGAAAGCUGUAGUCCAUACAUGUUCCCUUUCCGUCUCUCUCUGCGAGGUGCACGACUGUGAGUGGUUACAGGAGCCGAGUGUAUUAUGCCACACCUCAUUCGGUCAUCUGGAUACCAGACCCGUGGUUUAUAAUUCUCGGACUCCCUAAAGCAAUGAUCUGUGAGUUAGAGCCGGGGCCAGCCUUCAGAUGCGUGGCUCGGGGUGUGCGGCAGCUCAGAGGCGCGUCAGCAGGUGGCCCACCCGCUGCUGCAGAUGAGGCCAGGGCAGGAUUUUGGCGUUGCAGUGGAGUUAACUGUUUGGUUGGGACACCCACACCCCACAUCAGGGUGCCUGGGUCCAAGUCCCUAGGUUAGCACCCCAGCUCUUCUCCUGACUCCAGGUUCCUCCUGAUGAACACCCAGGAGUCAGCGGGCAGUGACGGCGCAAGCACUUGGGUCCCUGCCACCCACGUAGGAGACAUUGAGUUCUGGGAUAUCCACACACUUGUCCACGUUAGCAUGUUGGUACCAGGUGGCGCCACGCGGGCCUCUCUUUGUAAGUCAGGGAUUGUACUGGAACGAACCUAAGCAGGAAGGCUCCUUGUUCACUUCAAGGGAAGUCUGCACCGGCACGGUCCCCUUACACGGCGUUCAGGCUUGUGCCGGGGGAGUGCGGGCGUCUCCGCGCACUAUCUGACCCGAGCCGUUGAGAGCUGUAGUGCUUAGCAUCCCGCACAGCGGCCAGAGUGGUGCAGGGCUUCCCCUCUCUGUCUGUGCUUCCCCUGCACCGCCUCUCGCUGUCAGGCCCACGUGGCAGCCUUGUGUUCGAUCCAAGCUCCCCACUCAGGCCUUGGCGCCAUUAUGGGGACAGCGCUGUCCCGCUAACAGCUUCCUUUCCCCAGGCUCGCUGACUUGUCUGCCAGUCCAGAGCGGAGCUCGGAAGGUCCUACUUAACUUGCAGAACAAAGGGAGAAGAGAGCAGUGGGCAUCCGCUCCCAGGCUGAUAGGCAGUCGGCACCUUGUGGGGCUCAGCAUCUGAUCGUGCGCGCCGUGCAGGCGGUGCAGACGCCGUGCCGCGCACGCAGCCCUGUGCAGUGCGGGCAAGCCUGCAGCGGGACAGCUGAGCUCAAGUCGCUGACGGGGGCUCGUACCCCCUGCCCUGUGGUCUGAUCUCAGGUGAUAUUCCCAUGUCAGAGUAAUAUAGUUCUGGGGAAAACGGCGUCCACGAGAAAAAUCAAACUAUCAUCCUUGUUGUCAAAAGGAAGAAAAUCUUUGCCUGAAAGUAGACUCGUCCGGUGUUUUUAGCUGAAAUAAAGGGUGCCCACAAAAUGUAGUCUGGUUAGCUUGUCUGCGCGAGGCCCUAGCGAUCUCCCGAGGCCUGCAGGCAGGGGGCGCCGCCCGUGCAGGCUCUGGCAGGUGUCACACAGCGAGCUCCGGUUCCAUCUGACACUGUCCCCGUACCCCUGGCAGGGGAUCAGGCAGCUGCAUCAAACACAGCCCGAGAUGUUAUCGAUGAUAACGUGAUUGUAUUUUCUCGUCCAGAGGCUUCUAAACAAGGGGACUUGAGCAAUCAAUGCCCCAGGAGACAAAUGCACGUAUCAGGACCUUGGCUUCAGCCAGGAAAGAGCCAUUUGUUCAGACGUGGGGAGAGGCAUGACAUUCCACACAUUAACAUUGAUUAUUUCAUCAAUAGGUUAAUAGAAAACCAGGCCGCAAGUUCACUUCCUGCUUAUCCAUCCCCACGGUAAUGGGGCCCAGAGAGUGCACAGUGCAGGGGAAAGAGGCUGCCUGCACUUGAGCCUGCCUCCUUCCCAGGGGCGCGGAUUUGGAUGUAAAUGCUCUGGGAGGAGGUGAGUGCAGCUCCAGGCGGUGCAGCCCCUUCCUGGCUCCUUCGUCCUGAAAGAGGUGGACAGGGCCGCAGACGCUGGGUCUCCUCUGCGGACAAAGGAAGUGCGUUCUCCCGACUCGGCAUGGUCCAGUCAGCGGAACCUGCCGAUGGUCGUUCUGCGUCUCUUUGGGUUUUUUUUUUUAAAGAUGUGUUUAUUUAUUUGAAAGUCAGAGUUGCAGAGAGAGGGAAAAACAGAGAGACGGAGAUCUUCCAUCCACUGGUUCAUUCCACGGAUGGCCGCAACAGCCAGGACUGCGCCAGGCCAAAACCAAGAGCCAGGAGCCGGGAGCUCCUGUGGGGUCUCUCACGGGAGCGGCAGGGGCCCAAGUGCUGGGACCAUCUUCCGCGUGGUCAGAAGUGAAGUAGUGGGGACUUGAACCUGCGCUCAUACAGACUGCGGGCAUCCAGCGGUGCAGCAACACCUUCAGCAUUUCUCUUUCUUUCUUUGAAAGGCAGUCACACAGAGAAAGAAAGGCAGAGCGAGAGAGAGAGAGAGGUCUUCCGUCUACUGGUUCACUCCCCAAAUGUCUGCAGUGGCCUGAGCUGGGCCGAUCCAAAGCCAGGAGCUUCAUCUGGGUCUCCCACAUGGGUGCAGAGGCCCAGGCACUUGGGCCAUCCUCUACUGCCUUCCCAGGCCCCUUAGCAGGGAGCUGGUUUGGAAGUGGGGCAGCUGGGACUCGGACCAGUGCCCAUAUGGGAUGCCGGCACCGCAGUCAGUUUCUCAACCCGAUAUGCCACAGUGCCGGCCCCAUGAUCAGCAUCUCUAAAGCCAUGCUGAUCCUCCUUCCAGGUGUGGCCUUACCUGGGACAGGUGCUCAGGCCAGCCCUCAUGGGAAACCCCAGAGAGACCCAUGGACUAUAGAAGGGCUCGGCUGCCAGGCCUGCAGGUGACGUUUCUUACUAAAUUGUUGAUUUUCAGACCACGGAGUAGUUCACAGGUGUUCAGUUAGGAGUCUUCCUCUGUUGAAAUCAAGAGACAACUAAACCGCAGCUGGUCUCUCCCUCCGCCCUUCAUGGCGAAUGCAAAAUUUGCAUCCAUAUCGGAAAGUUCACAGCGGACUUUAUCGCGACACAAAAAAAGGUUGGAACCCACCCGUAAUUUCUCCACGCUGGGCACCCUCCGGCGUUUCGAAGACUCCCUGGGGAGGCUGUGCUUCAGAACCACAUUCACCUCCUUAAAAGUCCAGGAUUCCAUCGGAGCACUACGAGCCCAGAACAGAUUUGCUCAGUAGCGACACCCCGCACAGGGGCCGCGUGGUGACGCGGGGUCACUGGCCACCGAGGCCUGGUACCCACACAGCCUACAACCCACGUGCAGAAGGCGCUGCCCGGGGCUGAGUCUUCCGCUGUCACGCCGCAGGCAGGCCCGAGCAGCUGACCCGUCCUACGGUCCUGCGUCAUUCGCACCUUGGGGUCAGCAUCGGGGUUGCUGCUCGGCCGCCAGGGCGGCCUGGCCCAGGUGAGGCCUCACCUGUGCUGAACACACGGUGACCCAAGCGGAGCCGUGGGUGCUCUGACGCUCUCUCACCUGCUGUGUGGUGGCAGCACAUGUGACGGUGACAUUGCCGGGCCGGGCGUGUGUGUGUGCCUGCGUGGCAGGCCCACCGUCCGGCCCCUGCGUCGGAGGCUCUGUCCAGCUGUGUCUGCGUGAAGACUGCUCCGCAGGAGCCACCGGGUCUAACUCUCCCGUUGUUACACGAUGUCCCCUGGGAGGCCAGGAGGUCAGCCUCCUCCAUGCGGGGUCGUGGGCAGCCCUGAGCUGACUGCCGGGAGGGUGAGGAGGUGUCCGUGAGGCAGUCUGGAGGCCGGGGGUCCCGUUUACCCACUUGGUCACGACACACAGGGGUCGCCUGUGCCCAUGUCCGGUUGGUUCUGCGAUCACCCUGACCCCAGCCCCACUCUGUGGAUGGCCGGCUGUCUGUGCUUUUUGGCUGAGGGCUUAAUCCCCACUCGGAGCCUGCACCGUCCCUCAACGAUACCAGGGCCUGCUGCCGUGAGGGACUGUCCAGACCAAAAUCUGCCUGGAUAAAACCGCCCCGUUCUGUGAAAGCUCAGGGCCUCAAGCACCUGCCCUCUGGUAACCCCCCGGGGUCUCGUGGGAUUCGGCCUACUCCCAGAGCUCUGCCAGUCAGAGGCCUUGCGGCUGCUGGGGUCCAGCUCCUUGCAAAGGUGCCGUCAGCCGCCGAGGAGAAGGGCCAGUUGGUUGCCAUUUGGAGUGGCCAGGGGCUUGCAGAGGUGGCGCAUGGACCGCUUUGCCUGGGCACGUCUUUGUUUUCGCACAAACCCAGUGGCGCUGACGCCCGCCUGCCCGCCCGCCCUUGCUGAGUUCUCGUGCUAAAGGCCAGGGGAGUGGAGGUCCCUGGCCCGCGGUGCCCCUGGCUUCCCCGGGAACUGACGUCACCUGCUGCUGAGUCACCUGCUGCUUUGACAUCUCUUUUCUCCCCUUUUCAUUGGUUUUUUCUUUUCCUUUUUGUUCUCUCUCUUUCUCCCCCUCUCCCCUCUCUGCUCUCGGG